GUUAUCUCCAUCUCCAUAUACCCAUAGGCGGCCGACAUUUGUGGGAAUAGCUACUGGUGCUUACCAUAGUCUCGCCUUGGAAGAAUCCCAAACGGAGCGUAAAGAAAAAAGAAUCCCUAGUUCCCACGGCAACCAAAGAAGCAUCUAGCGGCUGCAACCAUCAUGAAGGCGAUUGAGCACCGACGCACCCCUUGUAAAUAACUAUGGCUGAAGGAAGUAAUCGCAAAGGGAGAUGUAUUACUAAGAUAGAGGCAGAGAAGGUGAUGCUGUCAUCCAACAAGACCUUCCAACUAUUACCAGGGACGAUAUUGAUGACGAGCAAGAGGGUGAAAAUGACAACUUCAGUUUAAUCAUGAAUACUACGAAAAGAGCAUGAGGGAGGACUAUGAACAAUGAGCUGAAAAAUUCAAAGACCAAGAAAAUUGUGGAGUGGGAUUACAAGGGCAGAAUUGGAGAGACUCGUGCUCAAUGUGCAAGUUGGUGUGGUACAAUUGUCAGAAUCGAUCCUCACACCUCUUAAGGUUAAGGGAUGGAGUGAAAUUCCUGAAGACAAAAUAAUGAAUAUGAUUAAUCGCAUCUUGGAUUACUUUACUAUCUUUGAGGAGGGACUCGAUAGGGCUGAAGUUAUAAGAAGGACAAAAUAUGUGAUAAGAAAACUUAGUGAUCAAUAUAGAGUGUGCAGGAAUGAGUUGCAUGAAAUUUAUAAUAAUCGACAUAAAGAUCCGGGAAGACUGCAGCGCUUACUUGUUUAGGUAAUUACUAAGGAUGAUUGGGACUAGCUUGUUGCGCAUUGGAAUGGAAAAUAUUUUUAGAUAUGUGUAGGAUGAGAAUGAAGCAAAUGGAUUGAAUUAUUUUGAGGUAGAGCCAUUAGAUAGAGAUACAGUCCUUGAGGCGGGGUUAUAAGAGAGAUGCACACCAUGAGGGCUCAGCUUGAUCAGAUUACAUCUUUAUUGUAGAGGUUUGCCCGCCUUAGGUUUCUAAGGAUUCUAGCAGUUGUAAAGAUGGUGAUGCCAUCGAUCAUUGAUAGCCCUUAGCUUGACUUUUUUUUUUUUUUUUUUUUGGGGGGGGGGUGUUUAUGUAUGAUGUAUAAUUUUUUUUAUUUUUUGAGUUCUUUGAGUUGCAAUGGAAAUUCAAUUAUGUUUGACAAUAUAAAUAUUAGUCAUUUUCAUAUAUGAUACAAGUGUUAUUA